GACGAACGCGGCGGCGUGCCUAAUACAUGCAAGUCGAGCGAAGUUUUUCUGGUGCUUGCACCGGAAAAACUUAGCGGCGAACGGGUGAGUAACACGUAAAGAACCUGCCUCAUAGACUGGGACAACUAUUGGAAACGAUAGCUAAUACCGGAUAAUAGCAUUAACUGCAUGGUUGAUGUUUGAAAGUUGGUUUUGCUAACACUAUGAGAUGGCUUUGCGGUGCAUUAGCUAGUUGGUGGGGUAAAGGCCUACCAAGGCGACGAUGCAUAGCCGACCUGAGAGGGUGAUCGGCCACACUGGGACUGAGACACGGCCCAGACUCCUACGGGAGGCAGCAGUAGGGAAUCUUCCGCAAUGGGCGAAAGCCUGACGGAGCAACGCCGCGUGAGUGAAGAAGGAUUUCGGUUCGUAAAGCUCUGUUGUUAGGGAAGAAUGAUUGUGUAGUAACUAUACACAGUAGAGAC
rnacentral:rRNA from 1 species